UACGUAGGGUGCGAGCGUUAAUCGGAAUUACUGGGCGUAAAGGGUGCGCAGGCGGUUUUGUAAGCCAGAUGUGAAAUCCCCGGGCUCAACCUGGGAAUGGCAUUUGGGACUGCAAGGCUAGAGUGUGGCAGAGGAGACUGGAAUUCCCGGUGUAGCGGUGAAAUUCGUAGAUAUUCGGAGGAACACCAGUGGCGAAGGCGACUGCCUGGACGAACAUUGACGCUGAGGUGCGAAAGCGUGGGGAGCAAACAGG
rnacentral:rRNA from 1 species